rnacentral:rRNA from 1 species
AUUGAACGCUGGCGGCAUGCUUUACACAUGCAAGUCGAACGGCAGCACGGGGGCAACCCUGGUGGCGAGUGGCGAACGGGUGAGUAAUAUAUCGGAACGUACCCGGAAAUGGGGGAUAACGUAGCGAAAGUUACGCUAAUACCGCAUAUGCCCUAAGGGGGAAAGCGGGGGACUCGCAAGAACCUCGCGUUUUCGGAGCGGCCGAUAUCGGAUUAGCUAGUAGGUGAGGUAAAGGCUCACCUAGGCGACGAUCCGUAGCUGGUCUGAGAGGACGACCAGCCACACUGGAACUGAGACACGGUCCAGACUCCUACGGGAGGCAGCAGUGGGGAAUUUUGGACAAUGGGCGCAAGCCUGAUCCAGCCAUGCCGCGUGAGUGAAGAAGGCCUUC